AACAUUGUUCGGUGGGUUUGUUUUUCAAUUGAAAUUGCUGGGUUUGAUUUUUAUUAAAACCCAAAGUCCUCUCUCUUGGAAAUACAGAAAGCCAAACUGAAAGGAAUAUAACCCAGAAACAGCUCCCAAAAGCUAAAUCACAUUGACCACAAAUCAAGUAAAUAUCCAGAUUUUAUCCAAAAAAAAAAAUCCAGAUUAGAAAUGGCCAAAAAAAUAAUAAUAAUAAUAAACAGCAAUUCCCAUCGUGACCAGCGAUUUGGGUUAGUUGGGGCCAAUCUUUUUUCUUUUUUCUUUUUCAUUUUCUCACGAUUUCUCGGAAACCAAACGAUGGGGAGAGCUUGAACCACCUGUUCCACUCUCUCUACCUUGCCACCGCCGCAAUCUAACCACCGACGAGACCAAACCUCUGUAGCGCCGAUCAGUCGUCGCAUGACUCAACCACCCAACAAGGACUGCAGAAGUAGUCGCCAUUGAGGAUUUUCUUCAGGUCGUCGGAGAUGCACCAUUGGGUUGGAGUCCAUUGCCACUGCUACUGUUAGGAUUGGUGAAGGCAGAAGUGAUGGGUUUCUUUUAAUGAUGAGUUGUAGCUGCUACUGGUGUCUGGUGAUGAGUUUCAUUUUGGGUUGGAGAUGGGUUGUGGCUACUAUUAGUGAUGGUAUUAAGAGUCUAAGUAAAAUCCCACAGCAUGUAGCAGCUACUGAUAAGAGUCCACAGCAUGUAGCAGCUACUGAUGUGAGAUGCAUCAGCCAAGCUACAAGGGUAGCAGGCAGUGCAGCCAUUGCUAAUGACAAGUGUGUUGUUCAAGUCACGAAGGCAGCUGUUGCUGAUAAGGAGUGCAUCUCUCAGAGCACAAGGAUUGCAUCAAAUGGUUUGAUGAGCACAGAAGUAUUGGAAAUGCUUGAAGCUAUGCCAGAUCACGAUUUCUUCAUCUAAUAGCAUUAAAGCAGUUAGUUCCGCAAAUCCAGGAGUCCUUUGCUCCUGGAUUGCCACGUGUACAGAUUCUAGAAGAUUUCAAGUAACAGAAUUUGGCGCCAAUUGUAGGGCGGUUAUGUUUACUGUGUAUAUAAAAACAGAGUAUAGUGAUGUAUUAUUCAUUCAUUCCAUUUCUUGUAAUUUUCUUCUCCAUCAAUGAAAUGCUCUCAAUUCUAUUUA